AAUGAACGCUGGCGGCGCGCCUAAUACAUGCAAGUCGAGCGAGAAGACGUAGCAAUACGUUUGUAAAGCGGCGAACGGGCGAGGAAUACAUGGGUAACCUACCCUCGAGUGGGGAAUAACUAGCCGAAAGGUUAGCUAAUACCGCGUACGCUCCUUGGACUUCGGUUCAGGGAGGAAAGCGAUACCGUGGGUAUCGCGCUCUUGGUUGGGCUCAUGUCCUAUCAGCUUGUUGGUGAGGAACGGCUCACCAAGGCUUCGACGGGUAGCUGGUCUGAGAGGACGAUCAGCCACACUGGCACUGCGACACGGGCCAGACUCCUACGGGAGGCAGCAGUAAGGAAUAUUGCGCAAUGGGCGAAAGCCUGACGCAGCGACGCCGCGUGGGGGAUGAAGGUCU
rnacentral:rRNA from 1 species